AGGGGGAAGGGGGAGGGGAGUGCUAGCGAGCGCGGCCGGUGCAGUCGCCAGAUAGUAGUUGCAGCGUGCAGUGUGCUAGCGCGGACGCCCAGCGUGGCGAGUGGCGCACGUGCGUGUGUGUUUUUGUGCGUGUGUGUUGGUGCGUGCGUGUGGGUGUGUUGGUGCGUGUGUGUGAGUGUGUGUCCACGAGGGAAUUUCGGGAAACACUUUUACUAACCGCGGUGUGCUAGCAAAGGGCGGCGCGAUGUUGAUGGCCGCGCCCUCCGCCUCGCUGGUGGGCUCGCCGGCCUGGAUGUCGCUGCUGUACGCCGGGCUGCUGCUGCUGCUCAGCCCCGUGUCCCUGGUGCUGGUGCUGGUGCUGCUGCCCGCCCUGGAGGUGCCGCACUUGAUCCCCUUCUACUUCAUGCGCUCCAUGACGGCCUUCCCCACCGAGUCCAUCUGAUGUCACACGUUCGGUUCGAGUCCCAUUUCGCGGCUUUGGAGCUCAAAACCCGUCCGGGGUUUUGACCGCCUCCACCGGUCUUCUGGCCCACUGUGCUCCGCCUUCCGUUGGGCCGGCCUAGCCUGCACCCACUCGUCACCGCUGGCAGUGCCGGCACCACAGUCGUGGGCAGCUCCAGCAGCUCCAGGAGGGGGCUGGCGGAAUCUACCGUGCGGAGUGGAGCGGAGUGGAGCGGAGUGGAGCGGAGUGACUCACACUUGCAGAUGACGGCCUCGUCCGCCCGUCCGCCCGGAAUGGCG